UACAGAGGUCUCAAGCGUUGUUCGGAUUCAUUGGGCGUAAAGGGUGUGUAGGUGGCGCCGUAAGUCGGGUGUGAAAUUUCGGAGCUUAACUCCGAAACUGCAUUCGAUACUGCGGUGCUUGAGGACUGGAGAGGAGACUGGAAUUCAUGGUGUAGCAGUGAAAUGCGUAGAGAUCAUGAGGAAGACCAGUGGCGAAGGCGGUUCUCUGGGCUGUAACUGACGCUGAGGCGCGAAAGCAUGGGGAGCAAACAGG
rnacentral:rRNA from 1 species